rnacentral:rRNA from 1 species
AUGCAGUCGCACGAGAACGCUUCAGCUUGCUGAAGUUAGUAAAGUGGCGCACGGGUGAGUAACGCGUGGGUAAUCUACCCUCGAAUUGGGGAUAACAUCGCGAAAGUGAUGCUAAUACCGAAUGACAUUUUGAAAACAUAUGUUUUCAAGAUCAAAGGUGGCCUCUACAUGUAAGCUAUUGUUUGGGGAUGAGCCCGCGUACCAUUAGCUCGUUGGUAGGGUAAUGGCCUACCAAGGCUACGAUGGUUAGCUGGUCUGAGAGGAUGAUCAGCCACACUGGAACUGACACACGGUCCAGACUCCUACGGGAGGCAGCAGUGAGGAAUUUUGCGCAAUGGGGGAAACCCUGACGCAGCAACGCCGCGUGAGUGAUGAAGGCUUUCGGGUCGUAAAGCUCUGUCAAGUGGGAAGAAUCCAUAUGGUGUUAAUACCGCCAUAUGCUGACGGUACCACUGAAGGAAGCACGGGCUAACUCCGUG